rnacentral:ncRNA from 1 species
CCCGCUGAAUUUAAGCAUAUUACUAAGCGGAGGAAAAGAAACUAACCAGGAUUUCCUUAGUAGCGGCGAGCGAACAGGAAAGAGCCCAGCACCGAAUCCCGCGGUUCCGCCGCAGGGAAAUGUGGUGUUCGGGAGGGUCCGCUUAUCCCGUGGCGUCGCUUCGCGUCCAAGUCCAUCUUGAAUGGGGCCACUUACCCGCAGAGGGUGCCAGGCCCGUAGCGACCGAGGCGCGUCGCGGGAGGAUCUCUCUUUAGCGUCGGGUUGCUUGAGAGUGCAGCUCUAAGUGGGUGGUAAACUCCAUCUAAGGCUAAAUACGACCACGAGACCGAUAGCGAACAAGUACCGUGAGGGAAAGUUGAAAAGAACUUUGAAGAGAGAGUUCAAGAGUACGUGAAACCGUUCAGGGGUAAACCUAAGAAACCCAAAAGAUCGAACGGGGAGAUUCAUCGUCAGCGGCGCUGGCUUCGCGUCGGUGGGCGAUGUCCCGCGGUGCCGAUAACCUCGGCCCUAGCGCGGGCACGCUACCGUGCGCCGAUGUCCGGCGUCCGUCGUCGUGCACUUCUCCCCUAGUAGGAUGUCGCGACCCGCUGGGUGUCGGUCUACGGCCCGGGUGGUAAGACUGACGCGUCGCCGGUAAAACGGCACGCGGCAAACCCCCGGUCGCCCGACCGGUUGCCCGGCAGUAUACGAAACGGUACCAGGCCGCGCCACGCGCGCGUCGAGCCCGUCGCAAGCGAGCGCCAUUGCACCCGGAGGUACGGACCCAGCGCCGUCCCCGGUCCUGGUCCGCUGUUAGCUGUACGGUGUAACCUUCGACAGGCCUUGCCCUCGCGGCCCCGCGCCGCGAGUCUACCGGUCGGCGACGCUACUGCUUUGGAUACUCUUAGGACCCGUCUUGAAACACGGACCAAGGAAUCUAACAUGUACGCGAGUCAUUGGGACUAGCGAUACCUAAAGGCGCAAUGAAAGUGAAGAUCGGCCCUGGCCGCCGACCGAGGGAGGAUAGGCCGCGUCGCGAUGCGGCUCCGCACUCCCGGAGUGUCUCGCCCUCAUCGCGAGGAGAGGCGCACCCAGAGCGUACACGUUGGGACCCGAAAGAUGGUGAACUAUGCCUGGUCAGGACGAAGUCAGGGGAAACCCUGAUGGAGGUCCGUAGCGAUUCUGACGUGCAAAUCGAUCGUCGGAACUGGGUAUAGGGGCGAAAGACUAAUCGAACUAUCUAGUAGCUGGUUCCCUCCGAAGUUUCCCUCAGGAUAGCUGGCACUCGGCCGUUCCGCAACGGAACGCGCGCGAGUCUCAUCUGGUAAAGCGAAUGAUUAGAGGCCUUGGGGCCGAAACGACCUCAACCUAUUCUCAAACUUUAAAUGGGUGAGAUCUCUGGCUUUCUUGAAUUAUGAAGCCACGAGCAUCUCGGAUCAGAGUGCCAAGUGGGCCAUUUUUGGUAAGCAGAACUGGCGCUGUGGGAUGAACCAAACGCAGAGUUAAGGCGCCCAACUCGACGCUCAUGGGACACCAUGAAAGGCGUUGGUUGCUUAAGACAGCAGGACGGUGGCCAUGGAAGUCGGAAUCCGCUAAGGAGUGUGUAACAACUCACCUGCCGAAGCAACUAGCCCUGAAAAUGGAUGGCGCUGAAGCGUCGAGCCUAUACUCUGCCGUCAGCGGCAAGUGGGGCGGCCGCACCCCCCUCGCGGGGGCCGCGGUCGUCACGAGGCCCUGACGAGUAGGAGGGUCGCGGCGGUGUGCGCAGAAGGGUCUGGGCGUGAGCCUGCCUGGAGCCUCCGUCGGUGCUGAUCUUGGUGGUAGUAGCAAAUACUCCAGCGAGGCCCUGGAGGCCUGACGUGGAGAAGGGUUUCGUGUGAACAGCCGUUGCACACGAAUCAGUCGAUCUUAAGCCCUAUGAGAAAUCGCAUGUCGAUGACGGCGUGAUAUACCCGAGUGCUGUUCACUCCCCGCCCUCUCUGUGUCUCUCUCUCUCUCUCUCUCCGGAGAGCAGCAGCAGUAGCAGCAGCAGCGGGCCGGCGGCAGUGCGCGGCGACACUUGCGGUGGCUGCGCGCGCGAGCGCGAGCGGGUGCGUGAACUCUCGGCGGUUCAGUCAGUCAGAGAGACGACGACUCGCGGACAUGUGCGAGCGCGAGCCGCGCAGCUGACGGUGUUGUGCGCGGAACAAGGCACACGCCCGUCGGGCGAAAGGGAGUCCGGUUCCUAUUCCGGAACCCGGCAGCGGAACCGCAUACAAUUCGGGCCCUCGUAAGAGUGUUCGUCGGGGUAACCCAAAAUGACCUGGAGACGCCGUCGGGAGAUCCGGGAAGAGUUUUCUUUUCUGUAUAAGCGUUCGAGUUCCCUGGAAACCUCUAGCAGGGAGAUAGGGUUUGGAACGCGAAGAGCACCGCAGUUGCGGCGGUGUCCGGAUCUUCCCCUCGGACCUUGAAAAUCCAGGAGAGGGCCACGUGGAGGCGUCGCGCCGGUUCGUACCCAUAUCCGCAGCAGGUCUCCAAGGUAAAGAGCCUCUAGUC